AAAGAGCCAACUCUGGAAAAAUAUUAGUUGAAACGGGAUCCAGCUAAACAUGAUAAGCCAACAAGGAAGCUGUGAAUCUGGAAGAUUCUGCCUCUAACAGGCUUCCAACCACUUCUCCAGAACCGGUGGCUCAUCAUUCGCUUCUCCCAGAGCCUAUCCAGAUGUUAACACACGAUGACACAGAAACCAGCACCCCUUUUUCCAGCAUACUGAAGGUUCUGCAUUUUGGGCAAGAAUACCACAGAAGUGAUGCCAUGUCCUCAUAAUGCACUAGCAGGUGCCACCUGAGCUUGAUUUGCCCCGUUACUUACAAUGUUCACUUUGAUCUCUUGAUUAAGCUGGUGUCUGCCAGCCUCCUUCACUAUCAAGGCUUCAGUCAUCCCUUUAGUGCCUUCCACUGAUAGAGCAUGAAUGUGUUUGCAGAGCUCCUGCCCCAGCCUCAUAGACUGAAGACAAGGAAUUGGCAAGUUGCACUUGGAGGAGCCUGGGGCCUGGACUGUUGCAGAAGGGUUUGUGCUGAAGGCAGGACCUUAAACGAAAGAGAGAAAGGAAGAUCCAAACUGAGGAAAUGACAGGAGGAAAAAGGCAGAGACAAAAAUCUGAGCAUCAGACAGAGAGAGAGGCCUAUGGACAGAGAGAGAGCCCGAUGGUAUACAUUUGGAGGGUCAGACAGAAACUUUUUACUUGUUGAGAGAGUUUGGGCAAGUUAUUUAAUUUCUCUGACCAUCAAUUUUCACAUCUGUAAAUGAGAAAUAACUAAUGCCUUUGAGGGUGGAAUGUGAGGAUUCUUGCUGAUGGAUGUGAAGUGUGUAUGAUGUGCAUGGUGUUCAUCAGAUGAUGUGAAAUGACGGCUAUUACUAUAAUGAGGCAUGGCUAGGACAACAUGGAGACCAGCCAUGAACAAAGAUGCAUGGAGAAUUGAAAGGCUCCGUAGGAGCCAAGUCAUGGACAAUUAUUAACUAAUGUAAUUUCUUUAAAAAUUAUUAUCUACUUCUUAGGGCUUCUUAAAACUGGAAAUACAUGGAAGGUGUUUGGAACCUAUCACCUCCAUUUUGAGAUGGUCAGAUAUAAAAAAAGAUAAGGAUCUAAAUGUGAUUGCUAUCAUUGCGUCUAUGUAAUGGGUCAGCAUUCUUCGUUAUUAUGACAAAGGCAGUGUAAGGAAGAUGUGCUGAAUGACUCUUGAGUCUAAUGCAAUAUGACUUCCUGUUGUGAUCAAAGGCUGUUUAUCAUGGUGGUGUUAGAGGGAAACUGACCUUAGGGGAGUGAUGGGUGUGAAAGUAACUUCCCAAGGGCAACAUACUCAACAAACAUUUACUCAAUAAACAUUAACAAAGUA